GAUGAAGAACGUAGUGAAAUGCGAUACGUAAUGUGAAUUGCAGAAUUCAGUGAAUCAUCGAAUCUUUGAACGCACAUUGCACUCUCUGGUAUUCCGGAGAGUAUGCUUGUUUGAGUAUCUGUAAACAUCUCAAAUCUCUCUUCGCUUGCGUCGAGAGAAUUGGAUUUGAGCGAUCCCGACUCCUUCGUCAGAAAGAGGAGGGUCGCUUGAAAUGCAGGUGCAGCUGGACAUUUUUCUGAGCUAAAAGCAUAUCUAUUUAGUCCCGUCAAACGGAUUAUUACUUUUGCUUCAGCUAAUAUAAAGGUCGAAUGAACUACCAACGCUGAUUGCAGGAAAACUUGUUCGUUUAUUCGGACUUGUAAACUCGAUCUCAAAUCAAGUAAGACUACCCGCUGAACUUAAGCAUAUCAAUAAGCGGAGGA
rnacentral:misc_RNA from 1 species